rnacentral:rRNA from 1 species
ACACAUGCAAGUCGAGGGGCAGCGGGAUUGAAGCUUGCUUCAAUUGCCGGCGACCGGCGCACGGGUGAGUAACGCGUAUCCAACCUUCCGUACACUCAGGGAUAGCCUUUCGAAAGAAAGAUUAAUACCUGAUGGUAUGAUGAGAUUGCAUGAUAGCAUCAUUAAAGAUUCAUCGGUGUACGAUGGGGAUGCGUUCCAUUAGGUAGUAGGCGGGGUAACGGCCCACCUAGCCUACGAUGGAUAGGGGUUCUGAGAGGAAGGUCCCCCACAUUGGAACUGAGACACGGUCCAAACUCCUACGGGAGGCAGCAGUGAGGAAUAUUGGUCAAUGGACGAGAGUCUGAACCAGCCAAGUAGCGUGAAGGAUGAAGGUCCUACGGAUUGUAAACUUCUUUUAUAAGGGAAUAAAACCUCCCACGUGUGGGAGCUUGUAUGUACCUUAUGAAUAAGCAUCGGCUAACUCCGUGCCAGCAGCCGCGGUAAUACGGAGGAUGCGAGCGUUAUCCGGAUUUAUUGGGUUUAAAGGGAGCGCAGACGGGUCGUUAAGUCAGCUGUGAAAGUUUGGGGCUCAACCUUAAAAUUGCAGUUGAUACUGGCGUCCUUGAGUGCGGUUGAGGUGUGCGGAAUUCGUGGUGUAGCGGUGAAAUGCUUAGAUAUCACGAAGAACUCCGAUUGCGAAGGCAGCACACUAAGCCGUAACUGGCGUUCAUGCUCGAAAGUGUGGGUAUCAAACAGGAUUAGAUACCCUGGUAGUCCACACGGUAAACGAUGGAUACUCGCUGUUGGCGAUAUACUGUCAGCGGCUUAGCGAAAGCGUUAAGUAUCCCACCUGGGGAGUACGCCGGCAACGGUGAAACUCAAAGGAAUUGACGGGGGCCCGCACAAGCGGAGGAACAUGUGGUUU